UACAGGGGGUGCAAACGUUGCUCGGAAUUAUUGGGCGUAAAGCGCGCGUAGGCGGCUACCUAAGUCGGAUGUGAAAGCCCCUGGCUUAACUGGGGAAGUGCACCCGAAACUGAGUAGCUAGAGUGCAAAAGAGGGUCGCGGAAUUCCCGGUGUAGCGGUGAAAUGCGCAGAUAUCGGGAGGAACACCAGCGGCGAAGGCGGCACUCUGGGCUGGAACUGACGCUGAGGAGCGAAAGCGUGGGUAGCAAACAGG
rnacentral:rRNA from 1 species